rnacentral:rRNA from 1 species
GACGAACGCUGGCGGCGUGCCUAAUACAUGCAAGUGGGACGCAAGGGAACACACUGUGCUUGCACACCGUGUUUUCUUGAGUCGCGAACGGGUGAGUAACGCGUAGGUAACCUGCCUAUUAGCGGGGGAUAACUAUUGGAAACGAUAGCUAAUACCGCAUAAUAUUAAUUAUUGCAUGAUAAUUGAUUGAAAGAUGCAAGCGCAUCACUAGUAGAUGGACCUGCGUUGUAUUAGCUAGUUGGUAAGGUAAGAGCUUACCAAGGCGACGAUACAUAGCCGACCUGAGAGGGUGAUCGGCCACACUGGGACUGAGACACGGCCCAGACUCCUACGGGAGGCAGCAGUAGGGAAUCUUCGGCAAUGGACGAAAGUCUGACCGAGCAACGCCGCGUGAGUGAAGAAGGUUUUCGGAUCGUAAAGCUCUGUUGUAAGUCAAGAACGUGUGUGAGAGGGAAAGUUCACGC